rnacentral:rRNA from 1 species
AGUGAACGCUGGCGGCAUGCCUAACACAUGCAAGUCGAACGGUAACAGGCCCGCAAGGGUGCUGACGAGUGGCGGACGGGUGAGGAAUACAUCGGAAUUUGCCCAGUCGUGGGGGAUAACGUAGGGAAACUUACGCUAAUACCGCAUACGACCUAACGGUGAAAGCGGGGGACCUGCAAGGGCCUCGCGCGGAUGGAUAAGCCGAUGUCGGAUUAGCUAGUUGGCGGGGUAAGAGCCCACCAAGGCGACGAUCCGUAGCUGGUCUGAGAGGAUGAUCAGCCACACUGGGACUGAGACACGGCCCAGACUCCUACGGGAGGCAGCAGUGGGGAAUCUUGCGCAAUGGCGAAAGCCUGACGCAGCGACGCCGCGUGAGGGAAGAAGGCCU